CUGGCUGACCCGACGCCUCCGUCCCCAGAGAGAGACGCGCUCUGCGCUGGAGGGACAGAGCCCGGCCACGGGGUCCCGGCCUGAGGGGGCCGUUUGAAUUCGCACGAGAAUACUGCUUGGAAGAUGGGAAACAUUCAUGGAAUUAUAGGGGGUCAUAGAAUUAUAGGACUGCAAAUCUUGAUUGGGAUCGUGCCUGGAGCAGAUCAGUCAUCAGAUUUUGCUUUUUAAAAUGUCUUCAGGCUCUCGAUCAUUUUUUCUUCAAUCAAAUCUUGGAGGCGCAAGGGUCAUCUUUGUCUAGUAUAACCACCAUCAAAACCCCCCAUCUCCUGAAUAACACAAGAUGGUUGGUGCUGGCUGCUAACUGAAUAGAACUGGGACAUUACUACACACAAUCAUGCAUUACCUCUUUCCUCCUGCUGUUGGACAAGCGGUGUCUCCUAACACUGUGUGGUGUUAUAUGACCAAGAGCCUGCAUCAUAUGGUCCCACCAAUGCCCACCUACAUAGCAUCUAUACAAGCCAGUUGUAGGGAAAACUAGACUGACAGUCAGACCGAGGAAGAUAAUGAAUAGUGGAUUCUCUUGAUGCACAAAUCUCUUCACAGUUUCAUUAUUCCUUCAAGCCAAUGGACACAGACGCCACUUCUCACAGCACCUUUGGAGAGCUCCCAGCCAAGGACUGACCAAGAACAAGUUUGCCCAGCUUGUGAUAACUGACAGGAUCAACAGGCAGAUAUGGUAUUAUAUUGUGAAAAAAUGUCUUCACCUUUAUGUAUUUGUACAACAGGACUGCACCCAUUGGUCACAUAAGUGCUAUACAGAGGGAUUAUUACCCUCUGUAUAUGUUAGACUAUGAACACUGAAUUGAAAAUAGUCAUUUUAACUGCUUAACAGUAUUGUAUGUAUCUUUUCCCUAUUAAGUCAGCUUUCAUGCUGUAGCGUUACACAUUUUCAUGUAAGGAAGUCAGCAGGUUCUGUACAUCUUUGUUCACUGCCUAGCUCCAUGGCUCUGAACUUGUUUGGCUUCUACACACUACUGCAAUGCAUUUUUUUUUUUAAACAAGGUGUUUUGUUUUAAAAGGGCAAUGUUAUCCCACCAUGGUCUAGUUAUUUCUGUUAAACUGUACAGUUUUCACUGCUUUUUCCCCCCUCUUUUAUCUUCCUUGCUCUCUAGUUUCUUUCUCCUAGACUCAAUUUUCAAUUUUUUAAAAAGCGACCAAGGGGAACUAGCAAACAGGGGCGUUUGAGAGGGAGAGACGGAGGUCCCCCUGCUGAACGAACAAGGUGUGAGUACUAAUCUUGAGGUGAGUGAAUUUGUUUGGCUGUUUGUGCUUUUCUUUCAGGUUAUUUAAAGUUACAGGGUGUCAUAAAUAUAGAGAAACGAGUAGCAUAAAAUCCCUCCUUGGCAGCUGUACUGAAUCGUUUUAUCUGUAAGGGGUUAAGAAGCUCAAAUAACCUAGUUGGCACCUGACCAGA